rnacentral:lncRNA from 10 species
CUCUGUUCACGGAAAGGGCCUGGGAGCUGCAACACCUCAACAGCAACAAGCACACCUGCUACCUAGAACUUGGUUUCUAAAAACCAUCCUCCUCUAAAAGGAAACAGAGCUCUUUGAAGAAACGAAGGUAAGCAUGAGCAAAUUACUUUUUAGAGGUAACUUUGCUGAACUUGUGAAGAAUGGUGUGCAAGGUCCAGAGCGACUGCAGGAGAGGGAAGGUGGGAUUCCCACAGAGCAGGAGCACAGAUAAGCCAAGCAAGGCCCUGCUUGGAAGGCAGCAAUCAACAGAGAUGCACAGACCUGUGAGGGUGCCGGGACAGCCAUGCAACAAUGCAGCCCUUUUGCUUCCUGAGCUCACCAGUUCCCUCGCUCCACCUCUGAGAGGUGGUUUGGAGAAACACAGCCCUUCUCAAGAGGGCUGCAAGCUACUUAAGUCCUGAAAAUUUCCACAAGGCUGAGUCAAAUCUGCGUUUCAUCAUCUAUAAGAAAGGUACCUAUCGAGAACACCCUGCUGGCCAGUGUGUAAAUAUCUAAAGGAGGACUCAGAAAACACCGGGGAAGUCCAGCCUGCACGUGGUGGCUGGGCUUCAGUGAAGCAUGCAGCACAACAGGAGUUAGCAGACCACAAAGAGCAUGUCUGGACCUAGAACCACAGCAUGUAACCUCGGAAGCAGUGAGACACCAGCCAGCAUGGACAAGCAGCAGGCACUUGCU